GAUGAACGCUGGCGGCGUGCCUAAUACAUGCAAGUAGAACGCUGAAGGAGGAGCUUGCUCUUCUGGAUGAGUUGCGAACGGGUGAGUAACGCGUAGGUAACCUGCCUGGUAGCGGGGGAUAACUAUUGGAAACGAUAGCUAAUACCGCAUGACAACAGUUAUAGCAUGAUAACUGUUUAAAAGGGGCAACUGCUCCACUACCAGAUGGACCUGCGUUGUAUUAGCUAGUUGGUGAGGUAACGGCUCACCAAGGCGACGAUACAUAGCCGACCUGAGAGGGUGAUCGGCCACACUGGGACUGAGACACGGCCCAGACUCCUACGGGAGGCAGCAGUAGGGAAUCUUCGGCAAUGGACGGAAGUCUGACCGAGCAACGCCGCGUGAGUGAAGAAGGUUUUCGGAUCGUAAAGCUCUGUUGUAAGAGAAGAACGAGUGUGAGAGUGGAAAGUUCACACUGUGACGGUAUCUUACCAGAAAGGGACGGCUAACUACGUG
rnacentral:rRNA from 1 species